AGUUUAGUCAAUGCUCGAAAGAGUGAACUAGCUAACUGAAAUCAAUAAUGUGUCAUUAUUGAUAACGUAAGGUAAAAAUAAUGAUGGUCCCUUACUAUUAGUGUCGUCCAAAUACUCGUGCCAGAAGACUCGGUAAGGCGAGAGACGCAAACGUUAGUCGUCUUAAUCAGGCGUAAAGGGUUUGUAGGCGGCUUUAAGAAUUUUAUUUUUUUAAUUAAAAAAAAAUCAAUUAAAGCUAGAAUCAAAAAGAGGUUAUAUUGAAUAAUGCUUUGAGUAGGGUUGGUAACUUGAGAUCCUAAGUAGAAUACUAACGGCGAAGGCUUUUUUCCAUUAAUGAUUGACGCUGAGAAACUAAGGUGAGGACAGAAAAAAGGAUUGGAGACCCUUAUAUCCCUCACAUUCAACGAUGAAUGGUAGUUAGUUUAGUCAAUGCUCGAAAGAGUGAACUAGCUAACUGAAAUCAAUAAUGUGUCAUUAUUGAUAACGUAAGGUAAAAAUAAUGAUGGUCCCUUACUAUUAGUGUCGUCCAAAUACUCGUGCCAGAAGACUCGGUAAGGCGAGAGACGCAAACGUUAGUCGUCUUAAUCAGGCGUAAAGGGUUUGUAGGCGGCUUUAAGAAUUUUAUUUUUUUAAUUAAAAAAAAAUCAAUUAAAGCUAGAAUCAAAAAGAGGUUAUAUUGAAUAAUGCUUUGAGUAGGGUUGGUAACUUGAGAUCCUAAGUAGAAUACUAACGGCGAAGGCUUUUUUCCAUUAAUGAUUGACGCUGAGAAACUAAGGUGAGGACAGAAAAAAGGAUUGGAGACCCUUAUAUCCCUCACAUUCAACGAUGAAUGGUAGUUACUAGAAGUUUUCUUUUAGAGACGAUGUUAACACGAAAACCAUUCCGCCUUGUGAGUACGACUGCAAAGUUGAAAACAAAAAAAUUAGUCGGUUUCGGAGCAAACGAAGUGGAGCAUGUUAUUUAUG
rnacentral:rRNA from 1 species